rnacentral:rRNA from 1 species
GGGUUGUGAGGUUAAGCGACUAAGCGUACACGGUGGAUGCCCUGGCAGUCAGAGGCGAUGAAGGGCGUGCUAAUCUGCGAUAAGCGCCGGUAAGGUGAUAUGAACCGUUAUAACCGGCGAUACCCGAAUGGGGAAACCCAGUGUGAUUCGUCACACUAUCAUUAACUGAAUCCAUAGGUUAAUGAGGCGAACCGGGGGAACUGAAACAUCUAAGUACCCCGAGGAAAAGAAAUCAACCGAGAUUCCCCCAGUAGCGGCGAGCGAACGGGGAGGAGCCCAGAGCCUGAAUCAGCAUGUGUGUUAGUGGAAGCGUCUGGAAAGGCGCGCGAUACAGGGUGACAGCCCCGUACACAAAAGCGCAUGUGCUGUGAGCUCGAUGAGUAGGGCGGGACACGUGGUAUCCUGUCUGAAUAUGGGGGGACCAUCCUCCAAGGCUAAAUACUCCUGACUGACCGAUAGUGAACCAGUACCGUGAGGGAAAGGCGAAAAGAACCCCGGCGAGGGGAGUGAAAAAGAACCUGAAACCGUGUACGUACAAGCAGUGGGAGCACAGGUUUACCUGUGUGACUGCGUACCUUUUGUAUAAUGGGUCAGCGACUUAUAUUCUGUAGCAAGGUUAACCGUAUAGGGGAGCCGAAGGGAAACCGAGUCUUAACCGGGCGUUAAGUUGCAGGGUAUAGACCCGAAACCCGGUGAUCUAGCCAUGGGCAGGUUGAAGGUUGGGUAACACUAACUGGAGGACCGAACCGACUAAUGUUGAAAAAUUAGCGGAUGACCUGUGGCUGGGGGUGAAAGGCCAAUCAAACCGGGAGA